GAACGCGAAGAACCUUACCCGGGCUUGAAUUGCAGACGAACGAUUCAGAGAUGAAGAGGCCCUUCGGGGCGUCUGUGAAGGUGCUGCAUGGUUGUCGUCAGCUCGUGCCGUGAGGUGUCGGCUUAAGUGCCAUAACGAGCGCAACCCCUUUUCUUAGUUGCCAUCAGGUCGUGCUGGGCACUCUGGGAAUACUGCCACCGUAAGGUGUGAGGAAGGUGGGGAUGACGUCAAAUCAGCACGGCCCUUACGUCCGGGGCUACACACGUGUUACAAUGGCCGGUACAGAGGGCAGGUUGCAUGUAAAUGCGAUCGAAUCUUAAAAGCCGGUCCCAGUUCGGACUGAGGUCUGCAACCCGACCUCACGAAGCUGGAUUCGCUAGUAAUCGCGCAUCAGCCAUGGCGCGGUGAAUACGUUCCCGGGUCUUGUACACACC
rnacentral:rRNA from 1 species